rnacentral:rRNA from 1 species
UACGAAGGGGGGCUAGCGUUGCUCGGAAUCACUGGGCGUAAAGGGCGCGUAGGCGGCCGUUCAAGUCGGGGGUGAAAGCCUGUGGCUCAACCACAGAAUGGCCCUCGAUACUGGAUGGCUCGAGACCGGAAGAGGUUGGUGGAACUGCGAGUGUAGAGGUGAAAUUCGUAGAUAUUCGCAAGAACACCCGUGGCGAAGGCGGCCCACUGGGCCGGUACUGACGC